rnacentral:rRNA from 1 species
CAGUCGCCACGGUAAUACGAAGGGGGCUAGCGUUGUUCGGAUUUACUGGGCGUAAAGCGCACGUAGGCGGACGCUUAAGUCAGGGGUGAAAUCCCGAGGCUCAACCUCGGAACUGCCUUUGAUACUGGGUGUCUUGAGUCCGGGAGAGGUGAGUGAAACUGCGAGUGUAGAGGUGAAAUUCGUAGAUAUUGGGAAGAACACCGGUGGCGAAGGCGGCGACCUGGUCCAUAACUGACGCUGAGGCGCGAAAGCGUGGGGAGCAAACAGGAUUAGAUACCCCUGUAGUCCCUGUCUCUUAUAC